rnacentral:tRNA from 1 species
GGGGCGGUAGCUCAGUUGGUUAGAGCGCUACGUUGACAUCGUAGAGGUCGAGAGUUCGAGUCUCCCCCGUCCCA